CCCUCCCUCUGGCUUCAUGCCUAACACAUGCAAGUCGAACGAGACCUUCGGGUCUAGUGGCGCACGGGUGCGUAACGCGUGGGAACCUGCCCUUAGGUUCGGAAUAACUCCCCGAAAGGGGUGCUAAUACCGGAUAAUGUCUUCGGACCAAAGAUUUAUCGCCUUUGGAUGGGCCCGCGUUGGAUUAGCUAGUUGGUAGGGUAAAAGCCUACCAAGGCGACGAUCCAUAGCUGGUCUGAGAGGAUGAUCAGCCACACUGGGACUGAGACACGGCCCAGACUCCUACGGGAGGCAGCAGUGGGGAAUAUUGGACAAUGGGCGAAAGCCUGAUCCAGCAAUGCCGCGUGAGUGAUGAAGGCCUUAGGGUUGUAAAGCUCUUUUACCCGGGAUGAUAAUGACAGUACCGGGAGAAUAAGCUCCGGCUAACUCCGUG
rnacentral:rRNA from 1 species